rnacentral:RNase_P_RNA from 1 species
GCGGAAGGCUGGAUGACCGCGUGCGUCUGCUGGUCCGUCAGGACAUCGGGGCGUGCGAGGAAAGUCCGGACUCCAUGAAGUAAGGGUGCCGGGUAACGCCCGGCGGGGGUAACCCCAGGGAAAGCGCCACAGAGAAGAGACCGCCCUGCAUGCAGGGCAAGGGUGAAACGGUGGGGUAAGAGCCCACCGCGGACCGGGCAACCGGGACGGCAUGGCAAGCCCCACCCGGAGCAAUGCCGAAUAGGGGCCUCGCGCGGGGCAGGUCAUGGACUUCGGUCCGCGAUACCGCCGCAGGGACGCUUCAGCCCGAGAGGCCCGGGUUGGCAGCUAGACCGCGUCGGUAACGGCGGGGCCAGAGGAAUGGUCAUCCAAGGGGGGCAACCCCCUGGACAAAAUCCGGCUUACAGGCCUUCCGCGCAA